GUUUGCAUGGAUAGCUCAGUUGGUUAGAGCAUGGUGCUGAUAACACCAAGGUCGCAGGUUCGAGCCCCGUAUGGGACA